rnacentral:misc_RNA from 1 species
CGCACAUUGCGCCCGCUAGUACUCUGGCGGGCAUGCCUGUUCGAGCGUCAUUUCAACCCUCUUGUCGCGUUUGUGUGACUUGGUGUUGGGGCUUCCUUUCCCUGGAAAUUUUUCUAGGGGCCCCUAAAACCAGUGGCGGAACCCGCUGAGGCUCUGAGCGCAGUAAAACUUUUUCUCGCUUUGGAAGGCUCUGGUGGGGAUGUAAUCCUGCCAUAAAAAAAAAACAAAAAGGUUGACCUCGGAUCAGGUAGGGAUACCCGCUGAACUUAA